rnacentral:misc_RNA from 1 species
AAGUCGUAACAAGGUUUCCGUAGGUGAACCUGCGGAAGGAUCAUUAAAGAGUUAGGGUCUCACAGGCCCGACCUCCAACCCUUUGUUGUUAUAACUAAACUGUUGCUUUGGCGGGACCGCUCGGUCUCGAGCUGCUGGUCUUCGGCCCGGCAAGUACCCGCCAGAGUCCAACCAAACUCUUGUAUUAAACCAGUCGUCUGAGUAUAAAAUUUUAAUUAAAUUAAAA